UUUUUAGAUUAUGGCAUUAGCCAAUCAGAACUCUUGUUAUAUUUGCCUUUUGGUGCGAAACUGGUUUGUUUGGAAAAAAUGGCUGCUGCCAUGAUGGUGCCUUUUUCACAUCUUCUGCAAGUUUAUGUGACGACCUGUUUAAAGUUUAACAUUGACACGCGGAGAUGAUGCCAAUGAUUCACCAUUAGAAGAUAUGACGGUAACAGUGGUCCAGAACUUGGCUCAACCAGAGUUCCACCAACAUUGCAACAUGCACACAACCAGCAAAACAUACCAAGACUGCCGAAUGUUUGGUCAGGAAAAAGCAUCCCACAAUGUUGCGACAGGCCCAUGUUUCAGUUUAUCGAGACUAGUCGUGAAACACAGACUUCUGAUUCAUGGAGUGCGGCAAACAUAUCUGUGCGACUCGUUCACUCCACUGUAAAGACCCGCACGGCAUUAAAAUG